rnacentral:rRNA from 1 species
UACGUAGGGUGCGAGCGUUGUCCGGAAUUAUUGGGCGUAAAGGGCUCGUAGGCGGUCUGUUGCGUCGGGAGUGAAAUCCCGAGGCUCAACCUCGGGUCUGCAGUCGAUACGAGCAAACUAGAGUGUUGCAGGGGAGACUGGAAUUCCUGGUGUAGCGGUGAAAUGCGUAGAUAUCUGGAGGAACACCGGUGGCGAAGGCGGCUCACUGGGGCUUAUCUGACGCUGAGGAACGAAAGCCAGGGGAGCGAACGGG